rnacentral:rRNA from 1 species
UACGUAGGGUGCAAGCGUUAAUCGGAAUACUGGGCGUAAAGCGUGCGCAGGCGGUUGUGCAAGACAGAUGUGAAAUCCCCGGGCUCAACCCUGGGAAUUGCAUUUGUGACUGCACGGCUAGAGUGUGUCAGAGGGGGUAGGAAUUCCACGUGUGAGCAGUGAAAUGCGUAGAGAUGAUGGAGGAAUACCGAUGGCGAAGGCAGCCCCCUGGGAUAACACUGACGCCUCAUGCACGAAGCGUGGGAGCAACAGGA